AGCCUCUUAGAACCUCAACUUACAUCCUGUUACAUUCUGUCAUCUCUCUCUCUCUCUCUCUCUCUCUCUCUCUCUCUCUCUCUCUCUCUCUCUCUCUCUCUCUCUCUCUCUCUCUCUCUCUCUCUCUCUCUCUCUCUCUCUCUCUCUCUCUCUCUCUCUCUCUCUCUCUCUCUGCAUUUGAACUGAAGGGAGAGAGGCCAGUCUGGUCUGUGGUGCAGUGCAGCAGCCAUAGCAGCAGCCUCCUGAUAGCAGGGCUAAACUGCUGGAGAGCAGAGAGUGCCCGCUCAGAGCAGAAGGCUCUUUGAACUCUGUCUGUACUCUCUGCUGCAGAGCUUGAACUGGGUUAAUCGCUAUUAAUAUUUAACAUGCUGCCAAAGUUCCAGCCCAGAAACUGUAUCAAAGCCAAGUGCUCUAUCCAGCAGAGGUUUUUUUACUCUGUUCUUCUGUUGCAAGCUGGCUGGUAUAAACACACUAAAGCUGCCGACAUGAAAUUUGAUAUGGUUAUUUAAUUCUUUCAGAAUAAAGUUUACCCCGCUGAUGAAGAAGGAGAAGGGAAUGACAACAAAAUAAGAAGAAUGACAAGGACAUGAGCAACAAAAAUAAAUAAAAAAAAAAGAAAAGAGCUGACAGCAUUUCCCAAGAUGCACCUCUCCCAGCAUUGCUCAUGAAUGGAAACAGGUGUGUUUGAUUGUGCGGUGGGUCUUGAAGAAUCGGGACUAUGUGGCAUGUCUACAGCCUAGGUGAUUUGGGUCAAUGGAGCACAUCUGGUACUAGUCACAACAGAGUGAACACGUCCACGGCCAUCAGACACCCCACCAGGCAAGUCGAGAGAGAGAGAAGCAAGGGUAAAGAAACAUCUGGGUUUCCUUUCUCUCUCACGUACACACACAUGCCUAUGGGGAUUGUGUGCCUUUUUUGGGGGUAGCUUGGAUUCUUCCAGGUGCAAGUGGGCUCGGAGAGAAAAGAACAGGCAUGGACGCACAUGUGUGCCUGUGGGUGGUGGUGGGGUGCAUUUUUGACUGACAGCACUGAAGCAAAAGGUUCCCCAUGCUGGGUGUCCAACCCUCUCGUCUCCCAUUCUAGGUUCAUCCCUUACUCUCCUUGUAAUUUAUCAUCUUUAAAACAUUUGUCUUUAACACUAGAAUGUCCUGAGUUGGGAAAAGUUGCCUUUAAAGACGUAUUCCCAUUGACAGAAAGAACACAUGAGCUCUCUGGACAGAUUUUCACACACAUUCAUAAUAGCAGAAACAAGAUUUAGGUCUAAAUUUUUGGCAGAACCCCAAAACUAAAGAGGACUUGUUACAUAAAAAUUAUGAUGGGGUGACUUCUGAUGCUGGGAUUUGCUUUAAGCUCUGAGCUUCUGUUCUUUGCUGUCUUUCUAACCCAUUUAGCUAACUUCACUCACACAUCCAAGGCAACAACAAUGGACUGGAUUGGCUCUUCACACAAAGGAAGGCGGGCCAUCAUCUGGACAAGCAUGACAAAGAGCGAGCAAAAUUGAUUUUCAGUGUAUAGGUCCAUGAGCUAUAUAUAUAUGUGCAUAGAAGUGUGUGUGUGUGUGUGUGUGUGUGUGUGUGUGUGUGUGUGUGUGUGUGUGUGUGUGUGUGUGUGUGUGUGUGUGUGUGUGUGUGUGUGUGUGUGUGUGUGUGUGUGUGUGUGUGUGUGUGUCUGCUCUGUCUACUCAAUCCCCAGUGAGUCGUGGAGGAUGGCUGCUUAUACUGAGCCAGGAUCCUCUGGAGUUUUCUUCCUGUUAAAAGGGAGUUUUCCUCUCCACUGUUGCUAAAUGCUUGCUUAGUAUGAGGAUUGCUAUAAAGGCACUGACACUAGUCAGUGACUUGAUGCAAUUUGCUGGGUUCCUUAUAUAGGAAACAUUUAUUUCUGAUGGGCUUAAUGAACUGACCUGGAUUGGAAUGUUUAUUAUGUGAAGUGCCUUGAGAUAACUCUUGUCAUGAUUUGGCACUACAUAAAUAAAAUUGAAUUGAAUUGAA